CCAACGGGAAAUAAUGUCAGCAACCCCGCCUUCAUAAGCUGCCGAAUCAAACGCCGUAUAUAAUUGAAGCUGUCGCACGCCUAGAUCAGACCACAAAUAAUGAAGAAAUCAAAAUAUGUUUGCAUCAUGAAAUUUGCCAAAAAUCGGCCUAAUUUUCAUAGGCUGUUCGACAGUCUGGACCCUCACGAUCCUGGGAGAGUUGGUCCUUCAACAAUCGUCCCAUAAAUAGUCGAGAUGUAGCCUUUUGAAGAUUUCGAUUUUGCAUUUCAUUAGAGUACUGGUUUUUUCUGAA